ACGAACGCUGGCGGCGUGCUUAACACAUGCACGUCGAACGGAAAGGCCCCUUUGGGGGUACUCGAGUGGCGAACGGGUGAGUAACACGUGAGUAACCUGCCCUUGACUUCGGGAUAACUUCAGGAAACUGGGGCUAAUACCGGAUAGGAAUCCUUGCUGCAUGGUGGGGGUUGGAAAGCUUCGGCGGUUUUGGAUGGACUCGCGGCUUAUCAGCUUGUUGGUGGGGUAGUGGCUUACCAAGGCUUUGACGGGUAGCCGGCCUGAGAGGGCGACCGGCCACACUGGGACUGAGAGACGGCCCAGACGCCUACGGGAGGCAGCAGGGGGGAAUAUUGCACAAUGGGCGGAAGCCUGAUGCAGCAACGCCGCGUGCGGGAUGACGGCCUUCGGGUUGUAAACCGCUUUCAGCAGGGGCGAAGCUUGUGGUGACGGUACCUGAAGAAGAAGCACCGGCUAACUACGUG
rnacentral:rRNA from 1 species